rnacentral:rRNA from 1 species
UAGCAUAAUAAAUUGUUUUUUAAUUGAAAACUGGAAUGAAGGGUCUAACAAUUUUAAAAUUUAUUUGACUUAGAAAAUGAAUUUUUACUAUAAGUAAAAAUACUUAUAUUUUGUAGAGGGACGAUAAGACCCUAGAAGCUUUUAUUUAUUUAAUUAUUGAUUAAUUAUAUUUACAAGCUGUAAUUGAUAAAAUUUUGAUUGGGGAAAUAAAAAUUUUGAAAAUAAUUUUAUUUUUUAAUUAAAUAUUAUUUUAAGAUCUUUUAUAUAAAAAAGGGAGGAAAAAGUUACUCUAGGGAUAACAGCGUAAUAAUUUUGGUUAGACCUUAUAUAUAAAAUUGAUUACGACCUCGAUGUUGAAUUAAAAAUUCUUUAUAAAGUAGAAAUUAUAACAGAAG